rnacentral:lncRNA from 1 species
AUGUGUUAUAUGAUACUUAAUAUUAGAAAGUCAUGGUCACAAGUGAGAAUAAAUUUUAACAGUUCCAAAAAGUUAUUAACUAUGAAAGCAUUUUGUCUUAAUGUUAAGGUUGAAAGCAAUGCACAUUUACUUUUAUUUAUUUAUAUUUGUUUACAUGUGUGUAUUUUAACUAGUGUUGUUUCAAUUUACAAGAGUGUUGCCUUAUCCUAUCAAUUAUGAGAAUACUUGGAUUAAUUGCUAUAUUUGAUUUUCUAUUGCAGUCACACUUUUUCAUGACUUAGAAAUGCUAGAGAGUGUAAUAAUUCUAGAAGCAAAGGAGGCAGAGUGAAAUGGCCCAGACAAAAAUGGGUUCUCUGAAAAUCACAAAACAAAAAGUGUGCUUAUAAUUUGAGACACAGCUGUAUGUUUGAAAUAGUAAACAGUCUCUAAAUUAACCAAUAACGUUUGGCAUCUAUUAGUUCUUUGAGUCAAAGAAAAAAAAAACAAAGAAAACGAAAACUAUAGUCUGAAGAUUUAUUUGCAUUUGCUUCACAAUUUAACUUUAGCCAUAACUAUUAAUCUUUUAAUUUCAUUUUUAAAGAGAUCAGUUACCACCUAUAUUUAUUGUUUAUGAUUUGUCUAGUGAAUUAUAAUUAUUAACAACUAUAAUGCCUACUAAAAGCUCUAUUAUCUCUAUGUAACUCCCUGAUUCAUAGCAUUUUGUUCUUUUUUGUGAAAUAGAGAACAUUUACUUGUUUAUUUUCUUGGUAGCUGUAGAACAUAAGAGGGGACAGACAUUGAACAGAUAAUUCUAGGUCUCAUUUGGGCAUUUUAUACAAAAUUGCUUCUCUGGAACUAAUUGGCUCUGUUUAGACUUCAGAUGGGUUAUGUAGAGAAAAUACCAUCAUCAUACUGAGCAUUUUAAUAAAAUAAAAAGCAAAAUAUGCACAAGUGAAAAUUAAAGACAGUGACUAGGGGCCUGGAGGGAUGGCUCAGUGGCUGGCUGAGAGUCCUUAUUGCUUUCCCAGAGGACAAUGGUUUAGUUCGCAGCUUGCACACAGUGGUUUACUUACUGCCUUUAAGCCCAGUUCCAGGGGACAACCUUUUCUGUCAUGUGUGAGCUUCUACAUGCACGUAGUUGACAUAACCUCCUUCAAGCUCAUAAACACACAUACAGCUAAAUUCAAAAUGAGUAAAUACGUGUUUUCUAAAACCAAAUAAUGACUGGUGAAGAGCCGAAUUUAUUUUUUUUAAAUCACUGGGAGAAAGUUGAUAAAGUCUUUGCCUUAAAGGGGCAAGUACUCAAUUUAACCCUCCAGACCCAUGGAGUGGUAAGUGCAGGUGCUGGGGGGCGGUGGAGAAAGAUGGACCCUGAGGCUUAUUGUCUAGUCAGCCUACUUGUGAGCUUCAGGCAAGUAAAAGCCUUAAAAACCACCAUGGACAAGAAUUAAGGUAUGAAAUCUGAAUUUGGUCCUUGACAUCUCUCUCUCUCUCUCUCUCUCUCUCUCUCUCUCUCUCUAUCUAUCUAUCUAUCUAUCUAUCGAUCUAUCUGUCUUUGUAUGUAUCCAUACACACCUGUGUCUUCAUACAGAUGUGGCUCUACAUUAACAUAAAACCCCAAACACAUAGUACCCACACAGAGAGAAAAUAAAUAUUACUAAAAACCCACGGUAUGAGAUAAUGUACAUAUGAUCACGUUUGAAUACUGGAAGUUGUGAGAAUUCACUAUGAACAAUGAAUUCACUCUGUAACCCAUGUCAGGGGAAUAGUAAUGCUCCAAAUCCCAACUGUGUAUUCCAUAUUUUCAGAUGUUUCCUGUGAGGCAGAAUUUACCAUUAUUUUCAGAAAAAAAAUAUGUUAUUCAGAGACCACCCACUUCACUGCAUUCGACUAUGCAGUAACAUCUUCUUCCCUGCAUGCUUCUCUGCCCUUUCCAAGGGCUCUACCUGGCUUAUGAACAAGACUAGGGAGGGUGCUGUUGCUCAUGGCUAUAACCCAUCCCACACCAGUGAUUGCUCAGAGAUCAGAAAAGGAUGCUGAAUCCAGUGUCCCUUGAGCUUUGUUCAACAAGUACCAUAUUCAUCCAUCUAACUCAAAACCACUCAAAACACAAUCUCCAUAGCAUAAUACUUUUUUUUUUUCGAUUCAUCAUUAAGGAAAAUGCCAAAGGUUUCUCCUUCACAAAGUCACAAAAAAGGAUAAUCACCUGGAUUAUCAAGAUCCUUUCCGUUUUAGCUACAUUAACUUAAAAUAUAAUGGCCCCACACAAACUUGUGCUUUUCUUUCCUCCACCUUCCAUGCUUGGGGCUAUAACCAGGUGUUUCAUAUGAAUGCUGAUAUUUGCUAGUAAUAAUAUUUUAAUGUUAUCUGGACAUUUUCUCCUUGAAAAUAUACUGCAUUUAAAUUUACCUGUUGACUACAAAAAUUAUUGGUAAAUUUUAUAAUUUUCUAAAUUAUGCCUAGAUAAUGCAUACAAAGCAUCUCUUAAGUUUCAGACAAUACAAAAAGAUGGCAGGAAAAUGCCAUAAUCUUCUUCCUUCCUCCCUUUCUUUCUUUCUUUCUUUCUUUCUUUCUUUCUUUCUUUCUUUCUUUCUUCCUUUCUUCCUUCCUUCCUUCCUUCCUUCCUUCCUUCCUUCCUUCCUUCCUUCUCUCUCUCUCUCUCUCUCUCUCUCUCUUUCUUUCUUUCUUGUUUAUUUGCUGUGGGAAUCUUCUAAAGUCAAUACUCAAUAAUAUAAAAAGAAAUAUUUUCUCUAUUCCAUUGCCUGGAUAAUGUAAGCUGAGGAAAGUUUAUUUUUUAAUUUUCUUUAAAAUUGUUUUUGUUUUGUUUUGGAAAUCCCUAUUUCUAGUUCUUUCUCCAGUUGCAAUUAACAUUAAUAAAUGGGUACUCAUCACAUGCUCUGGAAAAUACUGUCUUCUUCCCAAUGAGGCAUGAAUAAAAUCAAGCUAAUUUGUUUCCAUGAUCAGACAGGCUAUUUUCUACAAUAAUUGAACUCCAACAUUCUCCGUUUUACACAACAAAUUGACAACUAAGCUAAUCUUUCUUAAUGAGUUCUUUUGUGCUGAACCACAACAUGCACAUGAUAGCUGACAGUAUUCUAAGUUCAAAUGAACACUGCAUAUGACAUCUUAUAUGGAAAAAGAGACCGUGACCUCACUCUAAAAAAAAAUGAAUUAGUAUACAAAAACGGAAUUUAUUAUUUUCCCAUAAUGUUGUCAAUAAAAUGAUUUUGUAAUGUAUUGCAGGAGACAUUAUGGUUUUACAUAUUUACCAAAAUGUUAUUUUUAGUUUUUAUAUUAAGAAACACUAAGUUGUUGAUAAAUCUAUUAACCAAAUAUUUAACCAAAUUAAUUUUAUCUUUACUGUUUUAUUGAGUUUUCAAACCAAAGUAAACUUUACACUAUUUUAUAGUCAGUACAAGAUUCUAAUAAAAAAUUGAAUCAUAUCUAAGCUAUAUUGUCCAAAUAGUAUGGUAUCUAAUGCAGAAAGUCACUGAAAUAAGCUAUAACGUUUUACAUAAAUUAAGGCACAACUAUUUCUUAACAAUGAAAUCAAAUUUCACGUUGGUUAAAGUACUAAUUCCACUGAUUAUAAUACACUCAGAGAGAUUAAAAUGGUUUAAUAUAUGUUAGAAAGAUAGUGAAUAAAAAUUAUGUGGCAAUAUCUUCUAACAAAAUUUAUUCAAAAACUCACUUUGUAAAAUGCGGAACUCAUUAUACAUCUUAUAAUCUCAGAGACCAGACUGAGCAUAAAUGUGUAUAUUUAGGAUUCAGUUCCUAGUACUUAGUUCACUUCUAAUGUAAAAUCAUUACUCUUUUAGAUGAUUAUUAAGAAUGCCAAGUAGACACAAAUUAGAUUUAUUUUAAUAUUUGCUAAAAGUUUACAUGUGGUAUAUCGCACAUUGGUGAACAACAAAAUAACAAGAGUCUGGACAACAAAAUAACAAGACCCUGUCUGUCAAAUUUUGUGAAACUAAAUACAGGAAGAAGAAAAAAAAAAACAAAC